AUGUCCACGUCCGGUUCGUCCUCCGUUUCUGCCGACCGGGACAUCCUCCCCCUGAUCCCCUGCCCGGACUGCGGGGGCCAGAGCACCACCAUUGCCACUCGCGGCGGCUCCCGCCCCGGGGCUCAGAUCUACAAGAAACUCCGCCACAGCGCUGUUCUUGGCUGGUUCUUCCGCUGGUCAGACGGGUACGCGCUGGCCGAUGUUGCAAGGAUGACCCUCCUCCUCGGCGUGGCCAAUCUGCUCGUCAACCUGCUUGUUCUGGCUCUCGUGCUGCGGCUGUUCGCAAAGCGGAAUGCAUCUAUGGCGUAA
rnacentral:rRNA from 1 species